CCGGACUUUCAUCACGUGGUAGAGAACGAAGAUAGUUUUGCGCUUGUCGGACAUUGAACACAGUAUGUACCAGAUCUUCACUAGAGACGGCGAUCAUGGCAGCAUGCACGUUUUAUACUCCCAUCGAUUAAAGUCUUCUGUUGCAACUGGGAUUAUCACAUUGUCUGUGUUAUGUACUGUUGCGAUAUAUGAUGCAUACGUAUUUAAACUACAAUCGAAAUUUCAGUUACAUCAGCUCUAAGGUAUUUUUUGGUUACCAAAUAUGGUAAGUGAAAGUACCACCAAAUUACUAAUCUAUUGAAUGAUUUCAAGCUCCAGUUUUCACUUGACAAAUCCCGCUUUCUAAAAGAUUGGCAGUUUGUAUUACAUGGAUGUGCCAGGAUACAAUUAGGUUCAGAAAUUUGGUGCCUAAUAAGAUGUCUUUGGAUAAUUCACAUAGCUAUGUGGCCUUCUGCUCUGAAGUUUCUUAUGGUUUCUGCUGUUUCUGAACAGAAUUGGUGUUUUUGCCAGGAAUCCAGCGUCUCAGGAUCCAACACCCCAGGAUCCAGUGAAACAAAUUCUUGUAUUGUCAGAAACUAAUGUUUUUUUUUUUUUUCAAUUUUUGUGCCCAUGUUACUGAUGAGAUCACCAUGAAGAUUUAACUGCUUAAGGUAUGCCACCGAUAUCCACAGGCGUCAAAUAUCGUAAACUGGGGAAAAUUACUCAAAGACUAACAUAUAUUUGGAAAAAAAAAAUCCACUGGGUAUAUUGAUUUUCCCAAACGUAAUAAUUAUGAGCAAUCACAAUUUAUCCAGUAGGAUGCUGAUUUAAAUUUUGUUUGUUUUCGUGAAAUCUGUGCGUUUACAAAAAUGUUUUAGGGCGGUACUGUUAGGUGCAGGGCGUUCGUCUUUUUUUACAAGAAUCUGGUGAACUUCGAACUUAGGGUGCUUGUUAGGGCUGCG